UUCAACUUGUCGGAGUGCCACUUGGCUGAGACCGCAUUGCGGGAUCCGUAGAACCUGAUCAGGCUAAUACCUGCGAAGGGAACAAGAGAGACCAUCUG
rnacentral:ncRNA from 2 species